rnacentral:rRNA from 1 species
GAUGAACGCUGGCGGCGUGCCUAAUACAUGCAAGUCGAGCGAACGGACGAGAAGCUUGCUUCUCUGAUGUUAGCGGCGGACGGGUGAGUAACACGUGGAUAACCUACCUAUAAGACUGGGAUAACUUCGGGAAACCGGAGCUAAUACCGGAUAAUAUUUUGAACCGCAUGGUUCAAAAGUGAAAGACGGUCUUGCUGUCACUUAUAGAUGGAUCCGCGCUGCAUUAGCUAGUUGGUAAGGUAACGGCUUACCAAGGCAACGAUGCAUAGCCGACCUGAGAGGGUGAUCGGCCACACUGGAACCGAGACACGGUCCAGACUCCUACGGGAGGCAGCAGUAGGGAAUCUUCCGCAAUGGGCGAAAGCCUGACGGAGCAACGCCGCGUGAGUGAUGAAAGUCUUCGGAUCGUAAAACUCUGUUAUUAGGGAAGAACAUAUGUGUAAGUAACUGUGCACAUCUUGACGGUACCUAAUCAGAAAGCCACGGCUAACUACGUG